UUAAGUCAUCGCAAAACCUAUCCGUAAGGUGGGGGCUGAAAGUCACGAAUCCAAUACUAUUGGAAGGUCGGACUGCCGAA
rnacentral:ncRNA from 1 species